rnacentral:rRNA from 1 species
GAUGAACGCUGGCGGCGUGCCUAAUACAUGCAAGUCGAGCGAACAGACGAGGAGCUUGCUCCUCUGACGUUAGCGGCGGACGGGUGAGUAACACGUGGAUAACCUACCUAUAAGCCUGGGAUAACUUCGGGAAACCGGAGCUAAUACCGGAUAAUAUAUUGAACCGCAUGGUUCAAUAGUGAAAGACGGUUUUGCUGUCACUUAUAGAUGGAUCCGCGCCGCAUUAGCUAGUUGGUAAGGUAACGGCUUACCAAGGCGACGAUGCGUAGCCGACCUGAGAGGGUGAUCGGCCACACUGGAACGGAGACACGGUCCAGACUCCUACGGGAGGCAGCAGUAGGGAAUCUUCCGCAAUGGGCGAAAGCCUGACGGAGCAACGCCGCGUGAGUGAUGAAGGUCUUCGGAUCGUAAAACUCUGUUAUUAGGGAAGAACAAAUGUGUAAGUAACUAUGCACGUCUUGACGGUACCUAAUCAGAAAGCCACGGCUAACUACGUG